rnacentral:rRNA from 1 species
GACGAACGCUGGCGGCGUGCUUAACACAUGCAAGUCGAACGGAAAGGCCCUGCUUUUGUGGGGUGCUCGAGUGGCGAACGGGUGAGUAACACGUGAGUAACCUGCCCUUGACUUUGGGAUAACUUCAGGAAACUGGGGCUAAUACCGGAUAGGAGCUCCUGCUGCAUGGUGGGGGUUGGAAAGUUUCGGCGGUUGGGGAUGGACUCGCGGCUUAUCAGCUUGUUGGUGGGGUAGUGGCUUACCAAGGCUUUGACGGGUAGCCGGCCUGAGAGGGUGACCGGCCACAUUGGGACUGGGAUACGGCCCAGACUCCUGCGGGAGGCAGCAGUGGGGAAUAUUGCACAAUGGGCGGAGGCCUGAUGCAGCAACGCCGCGUGCGGGAUGACGGCCUUCGGGUUGUAAACCGCUUUCGCCUGUGACGAAGCGUGAGUGACGGUAAUGGGUAAAGAAGCACCGGCUAACUACGUG